UUUGAUGAACAUGGGCGGCUUGAGGCUUCGCAAACCUUAAAAUACGAGAAGUAUAAUGACACCUAUUUAGGUAGGGAUAGUCCCAACAUCAUCUCGUAGUACGUAUAUACGUACUGGGUACGUAGUAGUCUACGGAGUACAUGGGAAGUGUAAUUAUAUUUUGACCGUGGGUUGCGUGUCUAUGGAAGAGAGAAGGAGGAUUAAAAAGAUAUAUCGCUUUUAGAUCGCUAUAUCCUACAAGACGAUGAAGAUGGCAGAUAUGUCUGCGAUCUUCUGCCGUGUACUACAUAAAGUUGACCAUUGACCGUUUCCGCGUUUCGAGGGACAGGAGGAUCAUGAUGACUCCACUAGAUCGUAUAGAACACUGCUAACCGGCCAAUGAAUCAAAUCUUGCGGAGACACUAUACUACGUAUACUACAGAGUAUAGUUUAAUGAAUGUUAUCCCCUUAACUCCGCGAUUGACCGCCAGGAGACACAUAAAUUCCGACUCGAAGCAUUCUCAAUCUGUGCUGGUACAAGGCCGCGAAACAUAUCCCUGCAGUCUGAAUGAAGAUCGAACCAUGUUGGGCAUCGGCAAUAUCAAUGACUUUUAGCGUAUAAAUUUUUAUAAUCCUUCCGAGAAAUGUAUUCGAUUAUGGUUAGGUGUGGUUAUACCGAUUUCCGGUCUCGGGAGUUAGGGCUUUGGUGAUCAUCAGGAUAAGAUGGAAUGGAAUGAAGACCAAAUCAACCGCUAACUAUGACAUUUUGCUUUUCUGUAAUCAAUAGUAGCAGUCCCAUUCUGCAACUUCUGAUGAAUACAUUCAGAAUAAAUUUUUUUAAGAAAAAAGUCAAUUGGCGCGUUACACGCCGCCAGGGGCAGCCCAAAGAGGGGGAGCUGGGGGUGUCAUUUUGCGUCCCGGAAUGUGGCACGCGGGAUGGAGAUAUUCAAUAUUCGUCUAGAGAGGAAAUGUAACGUGUAACAUCGAAGAUGAUCAUAGAGUGAAAAAAAAUAGUUGCAGAGACAGAGAAAUAGGGAGCUUGGGCCGGUUUAUAAGUUGACUACUUAAAUAGUUAAAUGGCUAUGGAGUCGGAAGACACGGUUGUUUUAAGCUGUACAAGGAUGCAUGGAGCCAAGUUCUUUGUCCUCCCACACCAAACACGUCAAAAGCUCCCUUCAAGGAGUUCCACUUGUUUCAUCCUAAUCCUACCAAGGCAGGUUCCCGAGGGAAAGUGCAACGAAACACUGGUGGACACCCUAGAUUGAGAGAGCCCUUGCAGCCAGAACGUCCACCUCUGCAAAUUGAUACAUGGUAGCAAUUCUCCCCAUAAAAUUGCAAUGCAUGCAAGAAUUAAGAACAAAAAUGCUGAACCUUGACACUCCGUACUUUCUGCCAAUUAUUGGCUCCCGGAGAUAUAUUACCAUAUUUCCAGAACGUGUUCAUUCGUUCAAACUUUGCGGAUCUUCAUUGACAGCUCGGCACUGUGACUGAGGAAUUCUGUCUAGUACUAAUAUAGUUCGGAAGCCAGGAGCUUGGUAGUACCAGGUAAUUCUAUUUCGGUCCUGUCAAUGUAGAAAGGAGGCUUAGUCGGGAUGGGAAAUGUGAGACUAUGAGACCUGAUGGUUGCCCUCGCUAUCUGAGUUAUGUGAGUGAAGCUACAAGCCUUGAGGAUGGCUUGUGUAACAUAACACUGAAGGCCAAACUUAUAUAUAGUUAUAAUCUUUCGAGCUUCUUCCUCCUCGUCGAGAUUGUCACGCUCUUUCAACGAUAUAACGAAAAGAAGCUGAAGAAAGGUGUCGUUCUGUUCUCCAGUAGUCUUUGCUUUGACUUUCUUGUCUUAUUAUUCGCUUGUGCGUCGUUUUUCCUUUUGUGCAUGCCAUAAGAUACCCUCGCUUUCCUUUUCAUUGCAUUGCAUUGCAGCUUCCAUUUAUAUUUCCCGCCUCAAGACGCACACGCGGACAACUCGAGCCACCACAUAUAAUAUCAUGUUGACCUGUGGCUGUUUCUCGCCUAUAUCGCAAUGGCUUAAAAUCGUAUUUAGUCGAAAAGAGGAAGAUGACAAUAUAGGGAGGAUCAUUGAAAUUGGACCUCCGACCAACUUUCGAAAAGAAAUAGUCACAAUACCAUGUAUAGACGACGGGCAGGCAUUCUUCAGUCUAGAAACAUGCUCGGAUCUGACCAGUCCAAGUCAGAGCACACUACAUCAAAAUGACAGUCACGGAGUCAUUGUCGAGAAAGAAGCCGCCCAGAACGCUGCGAUGGUGCGACAACUGUCCAAAAGGGAUCAGCUGAGGAAACAGGUUCUCAGGCUGGGUGCAAAGUUGACGACAUGAUUAUUCGCCUUGCCGAGUCGACUAUUAUCAUCGCUCUGAAUAUUUGGUCAUUUCCAAAUGCCCAAACUUCACAC
rnacentral:lncRNA from 1 species